GGACGCUGGGACGAGUUUGUAGCUCCGGCCCUGCCGUUCCGACCCCCGCCGCGGUCGCCGCCAUGACGGGGCUAGCACUGCUCUACUCCGGGGUCUUCGUGGCCUUCUGGGCCUGCGCGCUGGCCGUGGGAGUCUGCUACACCAUUUUUGAUUUGGGCUUCCGCUUUGAUGUGGCAUGGUUCCUGACGGAGACUUCGCCCUUCAUGUGGUCCAACCUGGGCAUUGGCCUAGCUAUCUCUCUGUCUGUGGUUGGGGCAGCCUGGGGCAUCUAUAUUACCGGCUCCUCCAUCAUUGGUGGAGGAGUGAAGGCCCCCAGGAUCAAGACCAAGAACCUGGUCAGGUAAGUGUCAGGGUCCUUGGACUUUUGUCAGAACCAGCUGUGUUGGCGCUGCCUGUGUGUUUGAUCUGACAUACUGUUUCUGACAAGCCACCUUGUGGGAUGGGAUGUUAUAGGGGAAAGAUUGCUGGGGACUUACUGGGCAGGAAGGACGGUUUCUUUCUCAUUUCUUUCUCCUUUCCACUCCUUACCCCUAAUCUCUACCACUACCAGCAUCAUCUUCUGUGAGGCUGUGGCCAUCUACGGCAUCAUCAUGGCAAUUGUCAUUAGCAACAUGGCUGAGCCUUUCAGUGCCACAGACCCCAAGGCCAUCGGCCAUCGGAACUACCAUGCAGGUGGGUGGAUGGGCGUAUGAAUGCAAAAUGCUGGGACUUCAUGCCUGCUUCCACUCUCCCCCAUCCCAGCUUGGGCCAUCAUUUUGAUAUUCUCUCACCUACUUUUUCUGCUUUGCAGAGUGGGGAUGGUGAUUGGCCCCAUUAGCCCAUAUCUCCCCCAUUCCUGGCUUAGCCUCACUGCACCCCUCUCUAUCCUCCCAGGCUACUCCAUGUUUGGGGCUGGCCUCACCGUAGGCCUGUCUAACCUCUUCUGUGGAGUCUGCGUGGGCAUCGUGGGCAGUGGGGCUGCC
rnacentral:sRNA from 1 species